rnacentral:lncRNA from 1 species
CUAGUCAGCUCCAAAGCAGGGAAGACAGUGAGAUCUCCAGCCUUACACUCCCGUCUCUCCCUGACUGUCAGGGAGGCACCUCCAGCUCUUGGCAAACCUCAAGAGAGGUGAGAGUCCUGCCCCUGUGCCGUUGCAGGGAAGAACCUGGCCCCGGGAAGGCAGCCCAGAAGACCAGGAUGUCAGCCCCUAGAGAUGAUAAGCUAGGCUGGAGCAGAGAGGGGAAGCCUCUCUGAAGACCAGUCACGUAAGCCAGAGAUGGUCAGAGACUGGGAGGCUCUGGGCCUGUGGGAAGAGGCUGCAAGCCAGCCCAGGACUCUUGGCAGGUUUCCUGGCAGGCUGAGAAGCACGCCAUCUGGAAGGAGAGACAGCCCCCAGCCACCAGGGGCCUUGGGUACCGGCACAGGAGGCAGGGAAGAGACCAGCCUACUGCCAUGUGAAGGAGGGCACCCUUUCUCUGCAUGGAGAUGUCUGGAGAUGGUGCCUGGGAGCUAGGGAUGGUCAGAGAUUUGGGGAAAGAGAGGGCUUCUGCCACAUCCAGGAGGGUUAGCUCACAGCCCACUUUAAACUCCAGCCCAGAAACUCUCUGGAGUUGUCUCCGUCUUAGGCCCAGCCAGCAACACAGAUCUGCAUGGGGGAUUUUAUCAUGGGGUGUCAUCUUUCUCAAAGAGCUCAACUCCAGGGCCUUCUGGGUUUCUAGGACUAUUUAGAGAGGACCCCUUCCCUCCUCUGAACGUGUUUGUCCAGCCUCAAAACCUCCGCAUGGAGCUAAAGGCUGGGGCUUCCAUUCAGGGUUCCCCACCCCUCUCCUCUGCUCCAGCCCUCUCCUCCCUCCUGUCACCUGGCCUCUGCUUUCAUUCCCUUCCUCAGCCCAUUCUAAUCUGCAGGCUCUCCUAAGCCAAGUUUGGUUUCUCAUUCCAAGUAUACCCUAACUCCCUAAGCAACAGUAAAGAUAUGCCCAUCUGCUCUCAGUUACCUGUGCCGAGAUGGGAGGCAGUAGUCAGGACUCACACCAAAACCAUAGGCCUUGCUCUCUGGAAUGUGUUGGCAAUGGUUUUAUAAUCUCCAUUCACAGCUGCCUUUGUUAGGUCACUAUUAAAAUGAACUUCAUUCUGCGAGCACGGCCCUGGUAUGAGGUAGGUGUUUUGUGGGGAUACAUGGGGGCCAAGUGGCACACCCUCGAACUGAGUACCCUGUCACACGUGGGUCAUGGAGCCAGCUCUACCCAGCUGUGUUCUUCCUCAGGUCUAGUUUUCCUGGGGAGGAACAAAUAGCACCAACAGACCCAGGAUCCAGUUGGAUGCAGAAAUUGUCUCUUGAAAGUGAGCAGUAUACUCAGACCAUCUGCUGAGAAGAGAGGUGAGAAAAUAAAUCCCCUUGGACUUAGACACAAGAAAGAGCAGCGAACAUGUUUGGAGCAGACGGCUCGGGAUCUCAGUCACAUGGCAGCUUCCCUCAGCUGAGUGCACAGAGCCUGCUAACUCGUGUCAUAGAAUGAACCCAGUAGUAUCUGCACCCUGGGUCACCCCCUACCUCGGGCCCCCACCUGUCACAUCUGGGUCUCCGCCCCAGCCUCUCUGCUCCCUGUCUCACCUUCAAUUCAGUCUCUGUUCCACUCUCACGGUGAGCAUUCCAAAAGGCAGAUCCCACCUUUCCAGGGUACCUUUCUAAGGCUCUAGUUUCUUCCAGAUAAGAUAUAAACUCUCCAGUCAUCUGGUGCCAGGGCCCCUCAGGCAUUCCCUCCAGCCAUUCUGAAGAAAGUUCAUCCCCCCAAACACUCAUCCCUGUCCACACUGCUCCUUCCCUGCCCCCUGCCUGGCUAAUUCCUUCUCACCCUUUCAGAUUCCCCAGGCAACCUUCCCUCCCCGCUCUUGAGUUUAGGCUCACUUCCACCCCUCAGGACUCACUGAAAGCCCCACGAGGGCCACUUCAUAGCUCUCACACUCUCUUCAUCUGCCUCUCCCUCUGCAGGGUGAGCUCCAUGAGGGCAGGGGCUGUGUCCUGUUCUCAGCUGAUCUCCAGAAUCCGAGUCCCCAGAAUCCAGUGUAGGAACUCCUGGGAAAAGCUCAAUAGUUCAUUUGCUUUCUUAUCCUCAUCACCAAAGCACGCAGAAGACUCACUGGGCCAAAGUAACCAUAGCAGCCCAUGGGAGAGUUGGUACAGCAAGUGCUUAAGCUGUGGGGCUCUAGACCCUGGGCUUGAAGCCUGACCCUGCUGCCCUUCAGCCACGUGACUGUGGCCAAGUUACUUAAGCCAAUAUUAGUACCUACUACAAUGGGUUGGUAAUGCAUGGAUUAAGUGAAUUAAUGUAUGUAAAUUGCUGAGAACAGGGUCUGACACACAGGAAGUGCCAUGCACGUGUUUGCUAAUAUUGUUAGCAGGAUGCUAACCCUUUGAGGGCAGGGACUGUGCUCUUCAUUCCCAGAUGUACACACAGUUCCUAGCAUAUAGUAGCAAAAUUGUCUACUGGAAAGCUUGGGAGGGAAACAAAAUUGGAUUCAUAUCCUGGCUGUGUGCUAUUGGGUAGGCUACGUGUUAACAGUGAAGCUGUCUCAUUAUCUGAAAAGCGUGCAGGUUGAUGUGAGGUUGAUAUGGUUUAAAUAUUUGUCCCCUCCAAAUUUCAUGUUGAAAUGUAAUCCUUAAUGUUAGAUGGGGCCUGGGGGGAGGUAUCAUGGCCUUUGGGUCAUGGGGGCAGAUCCCCCAUGAGUGGCUCCAUGCUGUCCCCAUGAUAAUGAGUGAGUUCUUGGUCUGAGUUCACAUGAGAUCUAGUUGUAUUAGUCCGUUUUCACACUGCUCUAAAGAUACUACCUGAGACUGGAUAAUUUAUAAGGAAAAGAGGUUUAAUUGACUCACAGUUCCACAUGGCUGGGAAGGCCUCAGGAAACUUACAAUCAUGGCAGAAGGGGAAGGAGAAACAAGCACCUUCUUCACAAGGCGGCGGGGGGUGGAAUGCCAAACACUUUAAAACGAUCAGAUCUCCUGAGAACUCACUCACUAUCACAAGAACGGCAUGGGGGAAAUUGCCCCCAUGAUCCAAUCACCUCCCGUCAGGUCCCUCCCUCAACACAUGGGGGUAACAAUUCAGAUUACAGUUCGAGAUGAGAUUUGGGUGGGGACACAGCCAAACCAUGUCACUGGUUGUUUAAAAGUGUGUGUGUGGCAUGUUGCCCCCACUUCUUGCACCCUCUCUCACCAUGUGAUGUGCCUUCUCCCACUUCCUCUUCUGCUAUGAGUAAAAGCUCCCUGAGGCCUCACCAGAAGCUGAGCAGAUGCUGGCACCAUGCUCCCUGUACAGCCUGCAGAACCAUGAGCCAAUUAAAUUUCUUUUCUUUAUAAAUUACUCAGCCUCAGGUAUUCCUUUAUAGCGACACAAAAUGGACUAAUGUAGAGGUUUAGAAUGCUGUUUGUAAAGCCCUAAUUAGCACAGUGCCUGGCCCCUAGUGAACACUGGAUAAAUGGUGGCUGUAAUCUUCAUUAGUAUUGCAGAAUGAAUGAGGUGACAGUGAGCAGCAGACCUCUGGGGCUGGAUUUACUGAUUACAUGAGUAAAUCUUCAGGAAAACUGCACUCCCAUGGGCAGGUCCAACUACAUAAAAUUUGGAGACUGGUACAAAAUGAAAAUGUGGGACCCUGUUGUCUAAAAACUAUUCAGAAUCCCAAGUCAGCAACACCAGAGCAUUAAACCAAGCCCAGAGCUUCCUCUGUUCACAGGUCAUGAACUCAUGAGGUCAGCCUGCCCGUGGGACCUUCCCAGCAAUAGUUUCAGUGGGAUAGGCUGAGGCCCUCUCAUUUUGCAGGCCAGAGUCCCAGCCCAGAGCAUUCAGGUGUCUCACAUCACUUUUCUUCUGGCUCACUCAGCAGGGUGAGGCUAGGAACUCUUGGUGCCAAGUCUAGUGUCCCAGUGUCCCCAGUGACUAUCAGUCCCCAGUGGCAGCCCCAGCACUCCCUCCUGCUUGGCUGAGAACCCAGAUCACAGAAAGGGGAUGAUUUAUCUUUAAGUUUGGAUUUAAAAUUUUAAAUGGUACUGAAGUCAAUCGAAUGACUGGCCCCAAAUCUGUACUCCCCUCUUACAGUAUUAGCCAUCCAUGCUUGGCAUGGCUUUAGGGUGAGCAGGGUGCACCUUACCACAUCUUGCCUCUUGGCUUGCCUGUGUUACUUACUUAGGCCAAUGGGAGUGGUUGGGCUUGCCAUCUUGUAUGCCUGUCUUUCACCAU